UAGGGUAUAGCUCAGUGGUAGAGCUUUUGUCUAACAUACUCUGGGUUUGAUUCCCAGCACCUCAA
rnacentral:tRNA from 1 species